GUGCCAAUCUCCGUGGAUCCACCGGGGGAAUCCCGGGGGAUGCGUCCACCGUUUUAGAAGUUGACUAUUCUUACGCAAAAGUCACGCGAAGUUAAUUAAUAUUGUUUAGAGCUUUACUAUUCGUAACAUUGUUACCGAAAAUGACGAUAAAAGCGAGCAUAAAGAGCGAAAAUAUAAGAGAGAACAUUCUAGGAGGAUCCACCUCGCGGGGGACGCAGCCACCACUUUCCACCACAAAAAAAAUCGAGAUAUUUACAUUAUAUUAGCCUCCAAACAACUCUUUAUGUCAUAAUUAAUCGAUAAAAUUAACCUUCUCACUGCCGAAUGCGUUCGGCGGCCGAAUAAACUUCAUCAUUAUCAGUCGGCUUAAUUUUCGCGCCAAGCUUCUGCCGGGCAUGCGUGGCAACAGCGCUCAUCACCUGUUAGCAUUACAAUGGCGAGCACGCUGGCCUGUGGUUUGUUUAUCUUCGUUGUGAAUUUGGUUUUGUCGAUUUUAUGCUAAUUCAGCAACGAUAUACGUCUCGGCCUAAGUCCGCAAUCCUCAUUUAGAAGAACAGCUUAUGGCACAUUAUUUGGAAGAGUGGAAGCGUUUCACCAAAGAGCUGGAUAUAUGUUGGGUUCAAGAGAAAAAAUAUCUGCUGUCCUUUUUCAAGAGGCGAGCGGUGCCUGCUGGUGGCGUCGCUGCGGCGCACUCAAUGUUCUUCCUGAAGCUGCACAGUCUGUCGGGCGAGCAGUUCCAGGCCUGGUCAAAGAGGUGCUGUUCACCUACAACCAUAAUGGCGCUCAAAUCAUCGCUCGGAACGCGUUCUACACUCAGGCCAACGACCUAUGGUGGUCAGAAUGACGAUUUUGAAACCAGCAGUGGGCGGCUGGCUUGAUGGUUUCGUCCUCUUUUGGAUUGACGUCGUCUACUCGCUUUAGCACGACAGAUGCAUCACAGCGCUGACCUGCGAGUCCAGUUCACUACUUCCUCUCUUAGUCAGGGCCAUUCCGAGUUCCAGGCUACCGGAGAGGAGACGAGGAGCAGCUGGCCGACGUGGACAUUGACGGCCGGCUCGUAAUCAUGGUUCGCACCUAAGGCCAGGAGCUGCGCAUCUACAAGCAGCGCGAGCACUGCGAGCACAUCAAGGAGUGUCAUUUGCUCAAGCGCAUGACUCUCGUAAACCCCAUGUACGUGCUGCUUUUUACUUCGACGUCACUGCCGAUGGCGUCAGUGAGC